UGACCUUAACCUUCACAAAAGGGGAAAAGAGGCCAUACGGACAGCCGGGUCAAAAGCCGA
ncrna:Brachyspira innocens ATCC 29796 Streptococcus sRNA SpF59 (ldcC RNA)